UACGAAGGGGGCUAGCGUUGUUCGGAAUUACUGGGCGUAAAGCGCACGUAGGCGGAUACUUAAGUCAGGGGUGAAAUCCCGGGGCUCAACCCCGGAACUGCCUUUGAUACUGGGGAUCUCGAGUCCGGGAGAGGUGAGUGGAACUGCGAGUGUAGAGGUGAAAUUCGUAGAUAUUCGCAAGAACACCAGUGGCGAAGGCGGCUCACUGGCCCGGAACUGACGCUGAGGUGCGAAAGCGUGGGGGAGCAAACAGG
rnacentral:rRNA from 1 species